rnacentral:RNase_P_RNA from 46 species
GAGGAAAGUCCGGGCUCCAUAGGGCAAGGUGCCAGGUAACGCCUGGGGGGUGUCACAGCCCACGACCAGUGCAACAGAGAGCAAACCGCCGAUGGCCCGCGCAAGCGGGAUCAGGUAAGGGUGAAAGGGUGCGGUAAGAGCGCACCGCGCGGCUGGUAACAGUCCGCGGCACGGUAAACUCCACCCGGAGCAAGGCCAAAUAGGGGUUCAUAAGGUACGGCCCGUACUGAACCCGGGUAGGCUGCUUGAGCCAGUGAGCGAUUGCUGGCCUAGAUGAAUGACUGUCCACGACAGAACCCGGCUUA